rnacentral:rRNA from 2 species
GGGUUGUGAGGUUAAGCGACUAAGCGUACACGGUGGAUGCCCUGGCAGUCAGAGGCGAUGAAGGGCGUGCUAAUCUGCGAUAAGCGCCGGUAAGGUGAUAUGAACCGUUAUAACCGGCGAUACCCGAAUGGGGAAACCCAGUGUGACUCGUCACACUAUCAUUAACUGAAUCCAUAGGUUAAUGAGGCGAACCGGGGGAACUG